rnacentral:tRNA from 1 species
GCGAUAAAAGCAGAAUUGGUUUUGCGCUGGUCUUGUAAAUCAGAGGCUUAAGAUGUUAUCUUUUUAUCGUU